rnacentral:lncRNA from 1 species
ACCCCCCGUGCCGCCGCAGAGUUUUUGCCAAAUGUUUGACACGAGUUCGGGGUGCGGGGUGCGGGUUGCGGGAUAUCCUGUAUCCUCUCUUCAAAUGUGGCAAAAGUCAGAUAUGGGUGUGUGCGAAAAGCAACCCUCGGGUUGGGUUCCUUUGCUGCUGCAUUUGUUGUUGCCAAUUCAAAUUGCCAAUUAUCGAUGAAUUUGCAGAAAACCCAAACAGACAGACUGAGAAGACAGAGGGGCGCGGUGCGGUGUGUCAGCUUAAGCGGCUCUCGGUUCUCCCUGCUCAAUAUUUUGCUAGUUCUUUGUAUUGGCAUUAGGGUGGGGUCCGCUCUUCCUUUUGUGUGCUUGUGUGCAACAUUAUGCAAAUCAAAUGUGCCACAUAUCAUUGUCGAUUGCAAUAUUAUUGCUGCAAUUCAGCGCGGAGCACUUUGGCCUGUCAUUUUUGGGCUCUUUGAACACCUGGAAAUCAAUGCUUAAAAGGGAAAUAAAUUCGUUUUCCUUUUUUGGGAAAAACUUUCCCAGCAAAAAACAAGUUUCUUAGAUUUUUUUUAACUGAAAUCUGAGAUUCCUGCAGCCAGC